CCCGGGUGGGUUACAACUGAAAGCGCCAUUUAUCCUCUCUUCUGUGCACAACAGCAGAUGGAGCCCCCGUUCAGUCUAGCCUGAUAUUUCCUCCUCGAUUCGUAGAUAUAAAAGAAUUAUAAAUUGCACUUCCGUCCUUACAAUGAUGCUAAAGCAAAAGAUUGGGGAAAGAACGGUCGCCAUGAAUAUUAUGCUCGCAGAAUUAGUGUCAGCCUUUCUCUUGGAGUUCUAAGGUUUGGAACAAAAUCCCAUCUGAGCAAUGUGGGCUCAAAUGCAGAUCAAGAGCAAUGACAUUAAGAAUGCAGAAUGGAACUUGGGCUGAGGAGACUCUUCCCCAAGAGGAAAAAUCCCUCAUUAACAGCACUGACUGGAAAGAAGAAUCAGAGAAUUGAAGACUUUAAAAAUAAAUGCCAAUAUUUGCUACUGGUGACCACCUUCAAGAAACCAACCUUGGUCUCAGGUUAAAACCUUACAUCUCAAGGAUGUUCAAAGAAAUUUAUACUGUAUAUGUUCUUCCAUCCUACUUUGUUCUUGACAGCAAAGUGUGUGAGUGAGUGUAUCCAAGUAACUGCACAGAGCCCUUUCACCUGUUGUCAUAUCUUUACUAUUUUUCUUGGAGUUAGCAGUAAUCGAUCUGCUUUUUUUAAAAUCUCAGGAAAACCUUGUGAUUGACUCCUUAUUCCUCACAGUAAAAUCAGUUAACUAUAUUUUAAUUGGAGAAAAGUACAACCUCACGGUAAAAAGAACUUAAAGAUUUGCUAGGAUCAGCAAGGAAGGGAGCUGGAAGGAAAGGAGCUGAUUGACCCCUUCUCACUUUAUCUAAGUAGUGGUGGCUGUGCCUUCAGCUGCUUAAGCAGCAUACCCUUGAAUUCCUCAAAUUUACUCCUUUGACAAGUACUUUUGGUCAACAUCAAUAUCCACUUCUGUCUGAUUAACUUCUAAGACUUGCUGAGACAUUUUUGACUUUACAGUUGCAAUACAACUACAAUUUCUGACAGUUUUGGUUGUCAUUCCUGUCACAGAUACACUGUUGAAAGCAGUCUUAAUAGGUUUUGAGGUCAACUGAAAGCUAUUUAUUGUUGUAGAAAAUUUCUCUGUUGUGGCAGAAGCUGGGAAAAGUGAGAAGCUACCUCAAGAUCAAUAUGCAAGAAAAACAUAAUGGGCUUUGGUUUGUUUUUGAACAUUUUAAAAUGAUUGUCCAGUUGUAAUUUGUUGGUGCUUUCUACAAAUGGAAUAUUUUAUGCAUGAUCAAUGAUAUGUUUCAUUGUUUUACAUCGGGUAUACGUCACAGAAAAAGACCAUUCUGCUCAACUAGUUCAUGCUGGCAUUUAUACUCUACUCAAGCCUCCUCCUAUCCUUCCUCAUCUAAGUCAACCAUCACAACCCUGUAUUCUAUUCUCUGUAAUAUGCUUACCUGUUUCCCUUCUGCAUCUACUCGAUUGGCUCAACCGCUCCAUGUGAACAAGUUCUGCAUGCAUAUAACUCUAUGAGAGUGAAAGUUUCUUCUGAAUUCCCUACCAAAUUCCAAGGUGAUCACUUUAAAUGAUCAGGAAACAUUCUCCCAGUAGCCACUCUCAGAAGUUUAAUGUCCUCUAUAUAUACACAUUUCUGAUAUCUUACUUGUGAAUCUUCCCUGUACCCGCUCUUGUUUCUCUAAACUUGUUUCUAUAAAAUGGAAACCAGAACUGCAUACACUAUUCUCCAUGUGCAUUACUGAAGAUUUGAUACAGGUUUAGCAUAUCUUCCUUACAUUUUAAUUAUAUGCUUCUAGAAAUAAAGUCCAGUGCUUGUGAUACUUGCUAAUCUAUGCUAAAACUUCUAAUGUAUUUGUACUUUGAGAUUUGUUCGUUUGUUUCUCUAUCCCACCUAGCCUUGCACUUUUCAAAUAAUAAGUCAUGUCCCUGGUCUUCCUACUGAAGUAUACAACCUCACAUUUAUCUGUGUUGAAUUUCAUUUGAUUAUUUUUGCCAUUCUACAUGUUUAUUAAUGUCCUCCUGUAAUUUGUUGUAGUCCCCCUUUGUUUUGACUAACCCCACAUCUGUGAAUUUCAGAAUUGUGUUUUUGAAGCCAAAGUCCAGCUCGUUAAUAUAAAUUGUGAACAGCAGUGGUCCCAAUGAUUAAUUCUGCCACUUACCCCUUGCUCCAUAUUCUCUGGUUGUAUUCAUUAAUCUGUUGUGGAGUACCCUUGUCACUGUAUCUCAGUACAUUUAACAACAAUAAAUCAAACUAAAAGAUU